rfam:Ananas comosus cultivar MD2 ACMD2_Scaffold_677, whole genome shotgun sequence.
GUUCCCGAUGAUGCUUAUAUAAACCAUGCUAAUUCUGACAUUAUUUGACGAUAAUUCAAGUUUGCUUUUUCUGAGGGAACA